rnacentral:rRNA from 1 species
UACGGAGGGUGCAAGCGUUAUCCGGAUUCACUGGGUUUAAAGGGUGCGUAGGUGGGUCUGUAAGUCAGUGGUGAAAUCUCCAAGCUUAACUUGGAACUGCCGUUGAUACUAUAGACCUUGAAUGCUGUGGAGGUGAGCGGAAUAUGUCAUGUAGCGGUGAAAUGCUUAGAUAUGACAUAGAACACCAAUUGCGAAAGGCAGCUCACUACCCAGAUAUUGACACUGAGGCACGAAAGCGUGGGGAUCAAACAGG